CGGGGUGUCGUAUAGUGGUAGUAUGCGGGCUUCGGGAGUCUGCGGUCUGGGUUCGAUUCCCAGCACCCCGA
rnacentral:tRNA from 1 species